UAGGGAAUCUUCGGCAAUGGACGAAAGUCUGACCGAGCAACGCCGCGUGAGUGAAGAUGGUUUUCUGAUCGUAAAACUCUGUUGUUAGAGAAGAACAAGGACGUUAGUAACUGAACGUCCCCUGACGGUAUCUAACCAGAAAGCCACGGCUAACUACGUGCCAGCAGCCGCGGUAAUACGUAGGUGGCAAGCGUUGUCCGGAUUUAUUGGGCGUAAAGCGAGCGCAGGCGGUUUCUUAAGUCUUAUGUGAAAGCCCCCGGCUCAACCGGGGAGGGUCAUUGGAAACUGGGAGACUUGAGUUCAGAAGAGGAGAGUGGAAUUCCAUGUGUAGCGGUGAAAUACGUACAUAUAUGGAAGCACACCAGUGGCGAAGGCUGCUCUCUAGUCUGUAACUGACGCUGAGGCUCGAAAGCGUGGGGAGCAAACAGG
rnacentral:rRNA from 1 species